CCUGAGGAGGGUAUUCUAAUUAUCAAACAUGGUGUUCAUGGUGUAAAAUGCUAUACAAAUUGUAAAAAGAAAUCUUUAUUUAUCUGGGGGAUACUUUACUUAUCUAACAUGGUGUUAUUGGUGAUCGUUCAAAGUAUUGAAUGAAGUUGGGCUGGUGACACUGGAGACAAGACUGAGUAAUGCCUAAUUGUAGGCUGGGUUGUCCAUUUUGUGCCUGCCUACCAAGAGGAAAGCCAGAAAAGUGCCUCCUCGGACAGAAGAGAACUGGUCUGAGGACAGAGGCCUGAGCAGUGGGACCAGCCAGCUCCCCUGCGGACAGAUGGCUCUUCCUACCACAGUCACCAUCCAAAAGGCAGAAACAUGCCAACAGGAAGAGACCUGAAAGAUUCUUUGGUCCAACCCCUCAUUAUGUCAGAUCAAAGCCUAGAAAAAUGAUGUGACUUGUGCCCAAGAAGUGAUUCACAGCUAGUUUGUUGGAAAAUCUUGAACUAAUACCCAUUUCUCCAUCCACUUUUGAUGACAAAUAAAAGCCAUUGUACUUCAGUACAAUCCUGUAUACAUAAUUCCUUGUACACGUUUCCCUCAUUAACUUUUGAGGAUGUGUACAGUUGUCUACACUGCUUAGAAGAUGCACUUAAAAAAUAAUCCGAAACAAGUAAGUUUUAAAGUCUGAUUGAUUGGUAUACAUUGCUAAGGUGAAUGGUUUCUCGUGCCUUUGCUAAUUUUCUGGAUGUUCUUUAAGUUAAGUAACGUGAGGUCUACAUCCACCUAUGCUCCAGUUCAUCUCUGUACUUUCUGCUCUUGAAGUAUCAUGACCUGUCAUGGAGAGAACUGUAGCAUGUAGGUAUGAGUCUUGUGGCCUUUCUUCUUUUAUAUACAUUGGGACAUGCGAAAUGUGUUGAACCUCAGAUAUGCCCUUGCUGUUAAAAACUUAAUCAUUAUUCAAGGAUCAAUUCAAAUCCCAUC